AAGAAGAUGGCUCAGUGGUAGAGCACCUGCUUAGCAUGCACGAGGUCCUGGGUUCAACCCCACCUCUAUUA
rnacentral:tRNA from 1 species